GUAAAAUCAAUGAAAAGGAAUAGUAGUUGUAUGGGUUUCUGCAGAGAGCUUGUGUAAGGUGGAAGCAAGUGAAAAACCGCAAUGAACUCGCCUUGGAGAUGUAAAGAUGAAUGGAGUAGUUUUUACCGUAUCACUGCGUUAAGGUGUUAAGGGCAUGUAUAUGAAAAUAUAUAUGAACUAAGGUGGUAACGCGAUAAAGUCGUCCUUAGA
rnacentral:ncRNA from 1 species